UACGAAGGGGGCUAGCGUUGCUCGGAAUCACUGGGCGUAAAGCGCACGUAGGCGGAUUUUUAAGUCAGGGGUGAAAUCCCAAGGCUCAACCUUGGAACUGCCUUUGAUACUGGGGAUCUGGAGUCCGGAAGAGGUUGGUGGAACUGCGAGUGUAGAGGUGAAAUUCGUAGAUAUUCGCAAGAACACCAGUGGCGAAGGCGGCCAACUGGUCCGGUACUGACGCUGAGGUGCGAAAGCGUGGGAGCAAACAGG
rnacentral:rRNA from 1 species